CUACUAGGGUAUCUAAUCCUGUUUGCUCCCCACGCUUUCGCACCUCAGCGUCAAUCCCGGGCCAGUGAGCCGCCUUCGCCACUGGUGUUCUUCCGAAUAUCUACGAAUUUCACCUCUACACUCGGAAUUCCACUCACCUCUCCCGGAUUCAAGCCAUGCAGUAUCAAAGGCAGUUCUGGUGUUGAGCACCAGGCUUUCACCCCUAACUUACAAAGCCGCCUACGCGCGCUUUACGCCCAGUAAUUCCGAACAACGCUAGCCCCCUCCGUAUUACCGCGGCUGCUGGCAC
rnacentral:rRNA from 1 species